GACGAACGCUGGCGGCGUGCCUAAUACAUGCAAGUCGAACGCAGUGGGGACGGGUGAGUAACACGUGGGUAACCUCCCAUCAGAGGGGAGAACACUUGGAAACAGGUGCUAAACCGAUCCUGAUGGAUGGACCUGCGGUGCAUUAGGGAGUUGGUGAGGUAACGGCUCACCAAGGCCACGAUGCAUAGCCGGCCGGAGAGGGUGAUCGGCCACACGGGUACUGAGACACGGCCCAGACUCCUACGGGAGGCAGCAGUAGGGAAUCUUCGGCAAUGGGCGCAAGUCUGACCCAGCAACGCCGCGUGAGUGAAGAAGGUUUUCGGAUCGUAAAACUCUGUUGUUAGAGAAGCGUUAUCUAACCAGAAAGCCACGGCUAACUACGUGCCAGCCGCCGCGGUAAUAC
rnacentral:rRNA from 1 species